ACGAACGCUGGCGGCAUGCCUCACCCCUGCAAGUCGAACGAGACCUUCGGGUCUAGUGGCGCACGGGUGCGUAACGCGUGGGAACCUGCCCUUAGGUUCGGAAUAACUCCCCGAAAGGGGUGCUAAUACCGGAUAAUGUCUUCGGACCAAAGAUUUAUCGCCUUUGGAUGGGCCCGCGUUGGAUUAGCUAGUUGGUAGGGUAAAAGCCUACCAAGGCGACGAUCCAUAGCUGGUCUGGGAGGAUGAUCAGCCACACUGGGACUGAGACACGGCCCAGACUCCUACGGGAGGCAGCAGUGGGGAAUAUUGGACAAUGGGCGAGAGCCUGAUCCAGCAAUGCCGCGUGAGUGAUGAAGGCCUUAGGGUUGUAAAGCUCUUUUACCCGGGAUGAUAAUGACAGUACCGGGAGAAUAAGCUCCGGCUAACUCCGUG
rnacentral:rRNA from 1 species